CUGCCAGUAGUCAUACGCUCGUCUCAAAGAUUAAGCCAUGCAUGUGUAAGUAUAAAUAAUUCUACUUUGAAACUGCGAAUGGCUCAUUAUAUCAGUUAUAGUUUAUUAGAAAUAAUUUACUACUUGGAUAACCGUAGUAAUUUUAGGGCUAAUACAUGAGUAAAUCCUUGACUUUGAAGAGGUGUGUUUAUUAGUAUGAAAACCAUAUGCUUUUGCAUAAUAGUGAGUAAUAAUAACCUUUCAUAUCGUAUGUUGUAAUAACGAUAGUUCUUUCAAGUUUUUGCCCUAUCAGCUUUCGAUGGUAGUGCAUUGGACUACCAUGGCAGUAACGGGUAACGAAGAAUUUGGGUUCGAUUUCGGAGAGGGAGCCUGAGAGAUGGCUACCACAUCCAAGGAAGGCAGCAGGCGCGUAAAUUACCCAAUCCUGACAUAGGGAGGUAGUGACAAUAAAUCACAAUGCGGGACUUUUAGUUUUGCAAUUGGAUUGAGAACAAUGUAAAAGAGUUAUCGAUAAACAAUUGGAGGGCAAGUCUGGUGCCAGCAGCCGCGGUAA
rnacentral:rRNA from 1 species